CUGGCUCAGGAUGAACGCUAGCUACAGGCUUAACACAUGCAAGUCGAGGGGCAGCAUGAAGGUAGCAAUACCUUUGAUGGCGACCGGCGCACGGGUGCGUAACACGUAUCCAAUCUACCCAUUGCUCGGGGAUAGCUUUUCGAAAGAAAGAUUAAUACCUGAUGGUCUGUCAGUGAGACAUCUCGCAGGCAGUAAAGAUUUAUCGGCGAUGGAUGAGGAUGCGUCCGAUUAGCUGGUUGGCGGGUAACGGCCCACCAAGGCGACGAUCGGUAGGGGUUCUGAAAGGAAGGUCCCCCACACUGGAACUGAGACACGGUCCAGACUCCUACGGGAGGCAGCAGUGAGGAAUAUUGGUCAAUGGGCGAGAGCCUGAACCAGCCAAGUAGCGUGAGGGGAAUGACUGCCCUACGGGUUGUAAACCUCUUUUGCAGGGGAAUAAAGUGCCGCACGUGCCUGCCGGUUUUGUAUGUACCUUGCGAAUAAGCAUCGGCUAAUUCCGUGCCAGCCGCGGC
rnacentral:rRNA from 1 species